rnacentral:lncRNA from 1 species
GCAUGUUCUUCAAACCCUUUAAAUUGCCCUAAAAAUCAGUGACUACUCCCGUAAAAUCAUCCAAACUUCAUUCCCAUUUCUUUUUCUCCUAACAAGUAGGGUUUAUAAGCCCCUGUACCGUAUUGUGUGGUGGGGUAAUCACUCUGUAUUUUUCCUCCCAUGUACCAUAAUAAAUUUAUGUGACUUUUCUUCUAUUUAUCUGCUUUUGUCAGUUGUUUUUCAGUGACCCUCCAGAGGACUAAAGGAAAGUUUUGCUUCGCCCCUACAGUUUUGGCACUGUGAGCAGUAUACCAAAACUACUCCACCCUUCCGAAAGCCACAGUGAAGAAAACCCAAGGCCUGACAAGCCAGCAGAAGUGCAAAAAAGUUUUACCAAUCAGGUCAUUAGCCUCUAGCUCUGUGGAAUCUGGUUGAGUUCAUGAUAACAAAGGUCAGCUUGAACACUUGAAGGCUGUGAAAACACUCACCACUGUGGGAUAAGACUCUUGUGAUGAACGGGCUGAUCACAGAAUGGGACAAUUGGCACUGGUCACUUACCAGCCUCAGGAAAACAUUAUUGUAGUGAUGUACACUGUAGAAACAUUGCAUGGUUCAGUCCUACGGUGUUUCCCACUUUUGGAGACCUGGGACUCAGUGUAAAAAAAUGGAAUCCUUGAGUUUGAAGAAUUUAGAUGUUCUCCCUUCCAGCAAUGCCUGUUUUUCCCAUAUACAAACAUUAGGCCUUAAUAAGUACAAAAUGUUUUUUGGUGUGUGCUAUUCAUUGAUGCACUAUACUCUGAGCUCAUUAGUCCAGUUUGCAAAACGAAGACUAAAUUAGAAGCUACCUAUACAAAUGAAAUGGAUCUCCAUAUAAAGUCCUAUGUUAAAUUCCUAUAAUUUUGUUUUAUCUUAUCAUUCAUUUUUAUUCUUCCACUAACAAACUCAAGUUCUUCCUUUUAAAAACCUUAAAUUCUCUUUCCGUGUUUUGAAAUGUAAAUUUACUACCUUGUUUUUUUCUCAAACUCAGUAAGGCCUCUGGCCAUGUGGAACAGACAAACUUGUUUCAUUUAUAGAUUCGCAAUUUAAGCCAACUGUCCUUUUAAAUGGCAAAUUGUACAUGUCUCAUGGCUAUAGAUUUAAAAUAAAAGGUGUAAGAUUUUUAUUUUGCCUGUCUGUAUUUUUAUGUAUACAUGUGUAUACAUAUCUAUAUAUUGUCUACAUUGACUUAUAUGAGUAAUCAUAAAUUAAAUAACUAGCCCA